GAUAACACCGGAGCUUCCAUGAAUUGCUCUAUAAAUUGCAUGACUAAUUGAAACCAUUGAGAAUAGGGCUAAAAAAUGAUGACAAUAUGGCGGCCGGAUGCAGCGACACGUCAUUUUGUGACGUAGGUGAGUAGGGUCUAUACCAGAGGUUCGAAGGAGGUGGGGUCAAGGUCAAAAUCCAGAUCAAAGAGCAUGACAAACUAAGAGCCUCAUUGGUCAGCUCUUUGAUAUCACGUGCAGCUUCACCCACAGUCCGACAGCAUCCAGCAGAUGUCAUUCAGUCAGAUGCUGCAGUUGAACGCACGCGACUCAUCUGCUGACGCACGACUCAAUUGGACAAACUUUUAUCACCACGAACACCUCGCCUCUCAUCUUUUUGCACUCACUAAAAGCCUUGGAGAUCUAUUGAGUAGUUUAAUCAGCGAUCCGUGGUAUGGGACACCCCUCGGUUAUGUUGUGCCGAAAAAUCUCUCGUGGUCCACCGUCACUGGUUCAUCAAACAACUUUAUGUGCCCGCUCUGAUAUAGACACUGAACUGUUGAGCAACUGCGCCGAUAAUAUGGUGACCAGCAUGUUGGAGCUCCAAAUGGACAUCAACCCUGCCACUGCAGACGCCCUGGACGAGAAGAAGAAAAAGUCUGCGUGCAGAAAAAUGUUUAUUUUGAAUGAGCUCAUUCAAACCGAAAAGGCCUACGUCCGAGACCUACAGGAAUGCAUUGACAUUUACAUGAGCGAGAUGUUGACAAAGGAGGAAGAGAUCCCUCCAGGAACCACCAAUGUGAAGCACGUCAUCUUUGGGACCAUUUUGGAGCUGUAUGAAUUCCAUCACAGGAUCUGCUGGAAUGCUGUGAAGAAGGGAAAGCCGAACUCAAGAUGGCCCUGGAUGUGACUCUUAGCAUUCCAUAGAGAGCCAACGAUGCCAUGCAUCUCUCCAUGCUGGAAGCUUUUCAUGAGAGCAUCGAGUCCCAAGGCGAGCUGCUCCUACAGGAGUCCUUCAAAGUGUGGGAUUCAAAGAUUCCAUUCAGGAUGGAGAAAGAUAGACAACUCUUCCUCUUUGAGAAGUCCUUGGUGGUCUGCAAGGUAGUCAAGGAUGACAAGGGGAAGAGUAGGGGUGCCCCAGCAAAUCAAUUGACUCCAUCUAACCCUGUCCUCUGCAUCUUCUGCUCUUUCACCAACCAGCUUCACGUCCUCUUUAAAUACAUCAAUAAACCUCCUCUUUGGUCGUCCUCUCGACUUCCUGCCCGGCACAUGGAAAUCCAUCAUCCUUUUGCCAAUAUACUUAGUAUCACAUGCCCAAGCCAUCUCAAUCUGGCCUCUCUGACCUUCUCUCCAAAGCCUCGAACAUGUGCUGUCUAUCUGAAAUGCUCAUUUUCACUAAAGACAAUCAUUCUAUUUCUUCUUUAGAUAGCCGAGAUAAAGCUGACAGAGCACCUGAAGGGAGACCCCCGCAAAUUUGCUCUUUCGUUAGGCCGAACCAGAACAUUUAGCAAGAUUGUUCUGAAGGCUUCCUCUUCUCUGACCAAGAUGGACUGGAUCAAACAUAUCCGGAAGGGGAGGCGCUCAAGGAGCCGAGGCGUAUUCCCAAAACUAGCGCAGACAAGCACCACAAGAGUCGAAGGGAUGGAAAACAUCACGAAGAUGAAGUUGAAAGUGGAAGAUUGAGGCCUGCUACAUUGGAGGACCCUAGCACACAUAUUACCUGGUACAAAGAAAUGUGGGGUUCUCAAAGUGUGACAUACAAAUAGGAACUUACAUGAACUUGCACACGUUGACAAGAUCCUCAUAAAAAGAAACCAAAGAAAAUGGCUUUGGACUAUUUCAAAAUGUCAAAUUUUAAUAUAUGUAUAUACUGUAUAUAAUAUGUGGUUUCUUUUGGUACCUUUUAAAAAAUAGAUAUUUUUGUAUAUAGUUGGAUUCAGUGAUAUAUUUUACCAAAUAAAAUGUAAUUGUUCUUUGCACGGAAUGUGUUUGUCCUUGUUUAAUAAUAAUUGAAAUACAUGUGUUUGUGGGGGCAUGAAUAGGUAGAAGAAAUUAGG